rnacentral:rRNA from 1 species
GCAUAUCAAUAAGCGGAGGAAAAGAAAAUAACAAUGAUUCCCUUAGUAACGGCGAGUGAAGAGGGAAAAGCUCAAAUUUUAAAUCCAUCGGGUUUUACCCGAUCGAGUUGUAAUUUGAAGAGGCGUUUUCUGUGUUUCUGAUCAGUCCAAGUCCUUUGGGAUAAGGCAUCAUGGAGGGUGAGAAUCCCGUCCGGUUGAUCAGAUUCGCUUUACGAUACGCUUUCUAAGAGUCAAGUUGUUUGGGAUUGCAGCUUAAAAUGGGAGGUAAAUUUCUCCUAAGGCUAAAUAACGGCGAGAGACCGAUAGCGAACAAGUACCGUGAGGGAAAGAUGAAAAGAACUUUGAAAAGAGAGUUAAACAGUACGUGAAAUUGUUGAAAGGGAAACGAUUGAAGCCAGUCGUACCUAUGGGUAAUCAGCCUUUUGGGUGUGAUUCUGUGGAACGUGAGGAGUUAAACGCCUUCAUGCCUGCAUAUUCGUGCACUUUGGGUGUACUUGCCCGUAUGGUUGGUUAACAUCAAUUUUGGUUGUCAUAAAAUGACUGGAGGAAUGUAGCUUCGAUCUCGUAUUGAAGUGUUAUAGCCUUCGGUAGAUGUGAUGAUCGAGAUUGAGGAUUGCAACGGAUACCCUUCGGGGCUACCUGUCUGAUCUCUGAUCGUUGCUCUGGUGCCGAAAGCUUGCUUACGGUUAUCAAAGUCGAUGGUCAAUAGGUUAGAACGGGUUAAAUUCGUUAAGGAUGUUGACGUAAUGGCUUUAAACGAC